GCGGGGGCUGGUUCCUGGUCCCCGGGAGAAGCCAAGAAGGGCUUGGAUGAUGGCCUGAGAGAUCAGGAGAACCUAAAAGAAACACUAAACUACACCUGUAUGGGCCACAGCAUUGCGAGUCUACUGGGGAUCCAGGGAUGAAAAAAUAGUUACUGCCCUCAAGAGGUGUACAGCCUAGAGGUAUCGGAAUGGUUUGUGGGUUUGGUUGAAAGCUACAGAGAGGAGAGAGAGCGCAGAAGAAGAAAAAAGGUAUUUUGCCUGAGGACUUGAAGCUCUUUUUUCCCUUUUCCUCCGCUUGACUGACUUUCUCACACUCAGAUUCCCUGCAGCCUGCCAGAGACGUGGUAGCUGCCCUGCCAAGAGCUAUCCUGGGAGGGCCAUUGAAAGAGCCUCCAGUAAGUACACACUGGGUGGAUUUUCUCCUCCCAGGACCUGCUCCGCACCUGUACAGGGAGCCGUCCCCCACGUAUCACCUGAUCUCAGCCCUUUCAGAGACCGUGAGAAAAAUAAAGUCCAGGAGAGAAGAGAUGUUUGUCGUCUCUCCAGGGCUGCAGCCAGCUCCCUGUGGUCUGCGUGCCCAGAAACAGCACAUUCCUCACCGGGUAUGCACGCGUGUCAGCCCGCAUGCAUGCCGGGUGGGGGCACCGGGAAGGAGAGGGAAGCCAGGGGUCACGUGCAUAAUGACUGCCUCUCUGCCUCUGUUUACUGGCAUCCGCCUGACUGGUAGUUUUAUGAUCCUUUACUAGAAGCAUUACUAUGGUCUUCUAGAUAAGACUCCAUAUAUGCUGGUCACAGCAGAAUCCAUAACCAGGAUUUCUUACCUUAAGGUUCAUGGAUGAAUCCCCAGGGGGCCUAUUAAGCUCCUGAAAUAGAAUUCAAAAUUACUUCUCUACACGCGUAUUUAGCAGGAACUUCAUAAAUACUUUUUGAAUAAAUGAACCAAUGCAUCACUUUUUCUUUUUCCUGAGGAGAGGAUUCAUAGCUUUCAGCAGAAUCUCAAAGCUUUUUGUGACCCAAAAUGGUUGAGGAAACUGAUCCAGGCAAUUUCUGCUUACAAGGGGGUACUCUAAGCCCCAGAGAGGGCAAGGGGCUAGCUCAAGGGCCUACAGCACUCCAUGGCCAGAGUGGGGGUCAGAAGCCAGCUCAGAGCUCUUUCCACCACCCCACAGUGCUGGGGUCCUUGAUAAAUUUAGGAUGGGGUUUUGGAGUUGUGGUCACCGCCAGAACCUGGCUUUAAAACAGACAUUAAUAAAGAGACUGUGAAUUUCCAGAACAUUUUUUUCCCUUAAUUCUGAAGCACUUGAGCUGCUCUGCACCCAAGUUUUGGAUGGAGAAAGGGUUAGGCCAGAGAGCCAAGUGUCUACGGAGAGAAGAAGAUUCAGGAAUGCUUGGAGCAAGAGCCCUGGUUGCCAUGCAGAGGCAUUAGACACAACUGCAACUUUGCAUUCCAUCUUUGAUAAAAAUAAGUUGAAGAAAACUGCCUGGUUGGUUUCUGGCUGAGCUGGGACCUUGAAGGGCAAGCUAGGGGUGGCAGUGGAAAACACAAGCUUUUGACAUGGGCUGAUAGCAGCCUGUAAUGCUUUCUGCCACCCCCGUCACUCCCCUUGGAAAACUUGACCAGAACCAGUGAGCCCAAGGGAAUGUGCCUUUUCUAAUGGGCUCUGAAGGAGGAUGGUUGCCAAGAAAGCCUUUCCCAGUGGCGUGGGGGCAGGGCCCUCUGGAAUGGCUUAACUCCCACAUUUGGCUCAGCCACAGCGGCAUUGGUGGGAAGGUUCUAAGUGUGCUUGUAGCUUAACCUUUUCCCCUGUGAGCAGGGCUGCAGGGAAACGAGCCUGCAAGCCCAGGGAUGAAGGAGGCCGUUCCUGAGGGGUUGCAGGCACGCUGGUUUGCACGCUUGUGUGUGAAAGGCUCAGAAUUGCACUGGGGCCUCUGGCAGGCUCAGGAAGGUGGGAUGAAGCCUAGCCCCUUUAAACCCAGGACAUGCAUUUCUUUGCCUUGCAGAUGGCUGCUCCAACUGUGACAUCAGAUCACAUUUCUCAAAAAAAAUAAAAAACAAAACCAAAAAACUCAGCUAGCCAGGAAGACCAUUUGGGUAAAACUUAGGACCUGAAAGUGAUGUGAGAUGAAUUUGUACAACAGACUUUUAAUUAAAAUUGCCAUCAUUGUUAUCCUUCCCUCAUUUCUCAGCUUGUAGAAACGGGGUGAGGGAAGGCGGCGAAGGGACCAAAGAGGGGGCUGAGUUGGUCCAUUCAUUGAAUGCAUGGGAAAACAGCCCAGGAAGAUGUGACUUGCCCAAGGUCAGACAGCCUCCCCAGAGAGGGAAUAGCAAAACCAGAGUUAGGCUCAGGUUUCCUGCCCACUAGUCCAGAAACAGGCCCCACUCUAUCUCUAUAGGAGAAGAACAUUUUGAAAUAUCGUCCACAGGAAGUGACUAACGUUACCACCAAAGAUGGAUUUUCCAGUUGAGGACCAGAGCUGCCUGCUGCCCCUGGAGACAGACCUGGCCUUAAAGACCCCUGCAGCCUCAGGGCCCCUCAAACAUGAGAACAGGCAUGAGGUGCUUCAUCAGCUUGGCGGUUGGUUUGCUGGUAUAUGGCAUAUGGCUCCCUGCAGCUCAGUUCCACAAAUGAUUAUGAGCACGUGGACCUGGUGCACAGACUGCCUGGGGCAGAGUAUCUGCCCUUAAACUGCUGGAGCAAAGUUGAACCAAAGUUCAAAGAACAAAAAUCGAACAAAGAAUUACAGAACUACCCAGUGUCUUACUUCUAAUAUCCUUCGCCGAUAACCGGUGCCUUGUCUCAUCUCUCUAACCCUCAGCCAGCACGUGUAGGACACUUAGUAGGAGCUUGGUGAAUAUUUGCUGAGAGGAUUCGUGAAUGAAUGGCUUGCUCCCCUCUUUGGGAGGAAGCACAGAUGUACCCGUAGCUCAGGGCCUUCCCAGGACUGGCUGGAGCUGUGUGGACGCCGUGGGCUCUGGGUUUUCCUCUUACGAGCUGGGCUGAUUACAACUGUUGGUUGUUGUCACCUGUUAUCAGCUGAAUUGUGUCCUCUGAAAAAAACAUAUUGAAGUUCUAACCCCCGGUACCUUAGGAUGAGACCUUAUUUAGAAAUAAGGAUUAUUAAAGAUUUGUGGCAGGGUUGUUGCAGAUGUAAUUAGCUAAAAUGAGGUCAAACUGGAGUAGGAUGGAGAAGAGACACAGAAGCAGAGACACACAGGGAGAAGGUGGCCGUGCGACCAUGGAAGCAGAGGAUGGACUGAUGCAUCUACAAACCAAGGCACUCUAAAGAAUGCUGGCAAACACCGGAAGCUAGCAGAGGCAAGCCAGGAUUCUCCCCUAUGGGUUUCCGAGGGAGCGUGGCCCAGCUGACUCCUUGAUGUCAGCCUUCCAGACUCCAGAACUGUGAGACCAGAAAUGCCUGUUGUUUUCAGCCCCCCCAGUUUGCGGUACUUUGUUAUGGCAGCUCUGGGAAACUGGUAACCACCCCACCCUCGAUAUUAUGCGUAAAAGGAAAAUCUAUGACCUCUUUUCCUUUAACUUCUGUGAAACGUUCAUGGGAAAAGCUCUUUGGCUUGAACUUACUUUUUGGAAGCGUUAACUAUAGUUUCUCAUCAAAAUAUUUCAUGUAUUUAAAGCUCUAAAAGCUUGGUAUGUUGGGUUAUAUGUGUGGCAUAUAUUCGAUACUGAAACAAACAAAUCAAAAAGCAAACAUCCUCCCCCCAGACAAACAAAAAAAGCUCCCCCCUUAGUCUUCAUCUUUUUUAAGGCUAAUUUGCUGAGAGUAGGCUGCUAAGUUUGACCUGAGAGCUUGCAUACUGUUCAGUGUGACGGUGACUGUUACUUCCCCCUCUAGGAGGGGGCAUGAUUAUCUGGGUUAAAUAUGGUGCAGAGUCAUUGUCCAUCUCUCCACAGAAAUGAUGCCUCUUGCUUCUGCAUAUCUUCCUCUUGCUUUGUUUCAUCGAGCCAUCCUCCUGGGGGCAGAUUUCCAGCUCUGGCUGCUCCUCUGGUGCCCUUGAUCAAGGAAGCAUGGCCCUUCCCCCUCAAUCCUCAAGGAGAUUGAGGAAUUUGUAGGACCCACCUCAUUUCUGGUUAUUGAAUAACUGGCAGGGCAUCGAAUGUCAGGGCUAAGAAAACAGACCAGCCUACCUGUUAAAGCAAAUGACAUCAUAGCCCAGGCAGUUCUCAUGGUGUCGGCUUGCACUGUCUGUCAGCAACUCUUUCAUCACAAGCCCCACUUACAUCAUACUGUUCUGAACACCUAACCUGAUCAUUGUCACUGUGCCUACAACAUGGGUGAGUGACAGCAGCUUAAGGUUCUGAUUAAGGCUGGGCAGUCUUGCAUGAGGGGGAAGGGGUCUUUUUUUUUCAGCCUUAAGAAUGGAAGAUAUCAAUGGGGAAGAAAUGAGGGGCUUAUUGUGUUUUAAUUCAAAAUUCACCAUUAACUUCCCAACCUGGAUUUCCAGCCCACGGCUUCCCUCAGCAGUAGAUGGGGAGAAGGGCAAACCAUUAGCUCCUCCAUCCUUCCCUAAAUCUGGCCUACCUUACUAGGCCUUUCCUGCGGGGAAAAGAAGGUUCUGGCACCAUUUCUCCGGCAUGGGUACCACAGCAGCAACACUUAUGGAACUCUGUGAUCCACAAAUCUUUGAUGUGGAAAACAAUGUUCUCUGGGCUUUGGCGGAUGACCAGAUGGCCUCCUUUAGGUUUUAUUUAUUUGUGGAACUGCUUUUCACCGCUGGUCCUGGAUUCCCAGUUAAUGUCUCUGAAAGAUCACCACGAAGAUGAGAAGAACGAAAAAUGAUCUUGAAGAGUAAGUCAUGGUUUCCUCAAGUUAGAGUUGGGAAAAUUGGGGGGAAACUGAAAGGGAUUUCAUUAUUUUCAGUGAUGUUAAAUUCAUUCAUCUUCUCACUCAUUCAUUGACUUAUUCAUUCAUUCAUUCAACAGACAUUUUCUAAAUGCCCCUAUAGGCCAUGCACUGUGUGAUGUGUUGGGGAAAUAAAGACAAUGUCACAGUUCAUUGAUGCCAGUGUGACUUGUGCCUUAGGAGAUGUCUGUCCAGGGGGCUGAGAGAGUCGUAGGGAAGAAGGGAGCUCAGCCAGUGGCCUGGGGAAGAAGGGAGGGGAGUUUUGUCCUGGGACUAGAAGAGCGAUAUUUUCAAAGCAUAGGCCUUAGACCUCAGAAUUUCCUGGGGGAGUUUGUUAAGAUGCAGAUUCUAGCCUCCCAUUCCAAACCCACUGAGCCAGAGUCUUGGGGAUGGGUCUGGGGAGUCUGCAUGUUGACUCUUAGGUACUAAGUUGGAAAAUGUCUGCUUCAGGAUGCUUUAGGCUGUUGCAUCAAAAAAGAUGUUUCCAAUGAGAGCUGGAGUCAGUGAAUGCAUAAGGAAGGAAGUCUGGCCUUGGGGUAGGGGCUCAGAGCCCCCUAUAUCUAUAAAUUCAUUUUUAACUGAGCCAUUGGCUGUUGUAGGGCUGAGCAAGGGACAGCCUAUGACGUCUUUUUGCAAAAUGUGAUAGAGCCCUAUGUCCCGUAACUGAUUUCGUCUCAAAGCUUCAGGGAUCUCCUUUCUUUUUGUUGUUUCCCCUUGUCUUUUCUAAGGAAAUCGUUUGUAUAGGAGGUUCGAAGACCUCCGUAUGACUCUGAGGACAUCACUGGGGUGAAUGGUUUCUGUUGCCUGUUGCUCAGCCACCUGCUCGGGGAGAGUUAACGUUCUCCUUCGAGGCUUCUUUUGUGGAGGACCUGCUACAGCGCUUGCUCAAGUCUCCAGUACAGUCAUGCUCCACGUAAGGACAUUUCGGUCAACGACAGACUGCAUAUGUGACAGUGGUCCCAUAUGACUAGCAUCAUACAGCCUAGAUGUGUAGGAGGCUAUACUAUCCAGGUUUGUGUAAGUACACUCUGUGAUGUUCGCACAAUGACACAAUCGCCUCAUGAUGCAUUUCUUAGAGCGUAUCCCCGUUGUUAAGCGAUGCAUAACUGUACUUCUAGUCAAGAGGUUAACUGAUAUCUAUUUCAUCAUUCAAUCAUUUAGGAACUAUGGCUCGAGUCCCUGUGACGUUCUUAGUGAAGCAGCUAGACAAAUCAUUACGACUCGCUGGUCUCCUGGCAGGUGACAAGCUACAGUCGAGCCCUGGGAGCAAAAUAGAAAAAGUGGAGGAAUCUGUCUCUUGCCCUCAGGGAGCCCACAGUUGCCCUGAGAUGGCCAAAUGUGUCCAGUCACCUCCAAAGCUCCUAGUUCAAAACAAGGGACAUGCUGCCCACUAGCAACAGUGGGUGUCCUUGUGGGUGGGAGUGAGAUGCCCCCUCCCCAGGGUGAGGCAGUAAGUAUAGCUCUCAAUUUUUGGAACAGAAUGUCAGCUCUGUUGUCUUCCAGGCUGGUAUCUAAAGUAUGAGGAUCUAUGGACAGCUGAUAUAUAUAUACAUAUUAACAAUAAAGUUUAUUUUAUUUCCA